rnacentral:rRNA from 1 species
AGUGAACGCUGGCGGUAGGCCUAACACAUGCAAGUCGAACGGCAGCACAGGAGAGCUUGCUCUCUGGGUGGCGAGUGGCGGACGGGUGAGGAAUACAUCGGAAUCUACCUUUUCGUGGGGGAUAACGUAGGGAAACUUACGCUAAUACCGCAUACGACCUUCGGGUGAAAGCAGGGGACCUUCGGGCCUUGCGCGGGUAGAUGAGCCGAUGUCGGAUUAGCUAGUUGGCGGGGUAAAGGCCCACCAAGGCGACGAUCCGUAGCUGGUCUGAGAGGAUGAGCAGCCACACUGGAACUGAGACACGGUCCAGACUCCUACGGGAGGCAGCAGUGGGGAAUAUUGGACAAUGGGCGCAAGCCUGAUCCAGCCAUACCGCGUGGGUGAAGAAGGCCUUCGGGUUGUAAAGCCCUUUUGUUGGGAAAGAAAAGCAGCCAGUUAAUACCUGGUUGUUCAGACGGUACCCAAAGAAUAAGCACCGGCUAACUUCGUGCCAGCAGCCGCCGUAA